AUUUAAUUGAAACCCCAAAACUCACACUAAUUAAAUUAGAACAAAAGAGUCUCUUUCGCCUUCUACUUCGCUCCCAUUAUUAACAAUGAAAGUGCACACAACAAUCCCAUAAUCUCACUAUCUAUCCAUUUAUCUUUCUGGGUUAUCGUUAAUUAGCCAUGUCAGGCUCUUCAGAGAACUCAUGCAGCACCAGCUCUGCAUACGUGACGAGGAGACGAGUGAUAGAGUCGAUAGAAUCACAAGAUGGAGGAUCGUCAGGAACCACGUGCGUGCGAAACCAGGGAACGUUCUUGCAUAAGAAGGCUCAUCAAUACUUGCCGGAACUGUUGCGGCCGGGGAAGAUUCUGGGACGAUGGAUGUUUGUGAGCUUG
rnacentral:misc_RNA from 1 species